CGGGGAGCGUGUCGGCUUCGGAUGGUGACCCUCGAAGUUUGCGCUUUUCGAUUGGAUCAAGCGAUUCGGCUGAUGAGGGAUCGGAUCAGCCGAGUUCGAAAACUUUUACUGUAGAAUCGGUUCGGCUAGAUGAGCCGAAUUAAUAAAAUGCAUAGAGUUUUGGGUCGGCUGAUGAGCUGAAUAUAUGGAAUACACAGUUAUUGGUCGGCUGAAAGAGCCGAAUGCUUUUAUAUAGUAAUAAAACAGAGUGUGCCCAGAGGGCAUACAGACUCUGAAAAUCUAGUUUACAACAGAGUAUGCCCGUAGGGCAUACAAACUCUAGAGAUCUAACUUAAAAACUACUCCUAGGAAAGCAAUAAAUACGGGUAAAAAAGAUUACAUGUAGACUAUUCCUAGAAAGCGAUAAAUGCAGAAAAGAAAAGUAUUGAAAAUGCGGUGGUUUUCUCGUUCAGGGGAGAGAAAGACCUCCCUUGCAGGCUUCGAAAUUACUAUUUAUAGUAAUAU
rnacentral:lncRNA from 1 species